UACAGACCAGUUACAACAACCUGACUGAAGAGAGAGACAAGCUACAGACUGAGAGAGAGAUUCUUAACAGGAGGCUUACCAAUCUCAAACAAACCUGUCCUGAAGGCUGGCAGAAGUUUGAAUCCAGUUGGUACUUCCUGUCUACCAAGACUAACACCUGGAAGGAGAGCAGAGAGGACUGUCUGGAGAGAGGAGCAGACCUGGUGAUCAUAAACAGUGAUAAGGAACAGACAUUUCUGUACAACCUCCAGAAGAGAGUCUGGAUUGGUCUGACUGACUCUGUUCAGGAGGGGACCUGGAAAUGGGUGGACGGCAGACCACUGUCCACAGGGUGAGAGAUGAUAACUAAUCUGUGAAUAAAGCUCCAUUCAACCUUUUUCUAUACAGGUUACUGUCAUUGAUGAUAGCAGUCAACAAAGUUAACUUUAAGAUGAAAAAUGCCUGUAUAUUAUUUAGGAUGGUGAUGUUCUAUCCAUGAUAUCUAACUGUUUUUAACCCUGUAGGGACUGGUAUUAACCACAAUAUCUUCUAACAGUGAUGUCUGACAGUUGUUUACCCUGUA